rnacentral:rRNA from 1 species
AAUCAACGCUGGCGGCGUGCCUAACACAUGCAAGUCGAGCGAGAAAAGGGGGGCAACUCCCUGAGUAAAGCGGCGCACGGGUGAGUAACACGUGGGUAAUCUGCCCUGGAGUGGGGAAUAACACCGGGAAACCGGUGCUAAUACCGCAUACGAUAGCGAGGUCUUCGGACUUUGUUAUGAAAGGAGCAAUUCGCUCCAGGAGGAGCCCGCGGCUGAUUAGCUAGUUGGUGAGGUAACGGCUCACCAAGGCUACGAUCAGUAUCCGGUCUGAGAGGACGGUCGGACACACUGGAACUGAGACACGGUCCAGACUCCUACGGGAGGCAGCAGUGGGGAAUUUUUGGCAAUGGGGGCAACCCUGACCAAGCAACGCCGCGUGGGUGAUGAAGUCUCUUGGGACGUAAAACCCUUUCGACAGGGACGAAAGCCGCAAGGUUUGACGGUACCUGUAGAAGAAGCCCCGGCUAACUCCGUGCCAGCCGCCGCGGUAA